rnacentral:rRNA from 1 species
AAAUUGAAGAGUUUGAUCAUGGCUCAGAUUGAACGCUGGCGGCAGGCCUAACACAUGCAAGUCGAACGGUAGCACAGAGAGCUUGCUCUCGGGUGACGAGUGGCGGACGGGUGAGUAAUGUCUGGGAAACUGCCUGAUGGAGGGGGAUAACUACUGGAAACGGUGGCUAAUACCGCAUAACGUCGCAAGACCAAAGAGGGGGACCUUCGGGCCUCUUGCCAUCAGAUGUGCCCAGAUGGGAUUAGCUGGUUGGUGAGGUAACGGCUCACCAAGGCGACGAUCCCUAGCUGGUC